UACGAAGGGGGCUAGCGUUGCUCGGAAUUACUGGGCGUAAAGGGAGCGUAGGCGGAUAGUUUAGUCAGAGGUGAAAGCCCAGGGCUCAACCUUGGAACAGCCUUUGAUACUGGCUAUCUUGAGUACGGGAGAGGUUAGUGGAACUCCGAGUGUAGAGGUGAAAUUCGUAGAUAUUCGGAAGAACACCAGUGGCGAAGGCGACUCACUGGCCCGUUACUGACGCUGAGGCUCGAAAGCGUGGGGAGCAAACAGG
rnacentral:rRNA from 1 species